rnacentral:rRNA from 1 species
UACGUAGGUGGCAAGCGUUGUCCGGAAUUAUUGGGCGUAAAGCGCGCGCAGGUGGUUUCUUAAGUCUGAUGUGAAAGCCCACGGCUCAACCGUGGAGGGUCAUUGGAAACUGGGGAACUUGAGUGCAGAAGAGGAAAGUGGAAUUCCAAGUGUAGCGGUGAAAUGCGUAGAGAUUUGGAGGAACACCAGUGGCGAAGGCGACUUCUGGUCUGUAACUGACAUCAUGAG